GGCACGCCUAACACAUGCAAGUCGAACGAAGUAGCAAUACUUAGUGGCAGACGGGUGAGUAACAUGUGGGUAUCUGCCCUUUGGCCUGGAAUAACACGAGGAAACUUGUGCUAAUACCGGAUAAGUCUUUACAGAGAAAGCUUUAUGCACCAUUGGAUGAGCCCGCACUUGAUUAGUUUGUUGGUGGGGUAAUGGCCUACCAAGACUGUGAUCAAUAGCUGAUUUGAGAGGAUGAUCAGCCACAUUGGGACUGAGACACGGCCCAAACUCCUACGGGAGGCAGCAGUGGGGAAUCUUGCACAAUGGAGGAAACUCUGAUGCAGCGAUGCCGCGUGAGUGAAGAAGGCCUUUGGGUUGUAAAGCUCUUUCGUCGGGGAAGAAAAUGACUGUACCCGAAUAAGAAGGUCCGGCUAACUUCGUGCCAGCAGCCGCGGUAAUACGAAGGGACCUAGCGUAGUUCGGAAUUACUGGGCUUAAAGAGUUCGUAGGUGGUUGAAAAAGUUGGUGGUGAAAUCCCAGAGCUUAACUCUGGAACUGCCAUCAAAACUUUUCAGCUAGAGUAUGAUAGAGGAAAGCAGAAUUUCUAGUGUAGAGGUGAAAUUCGUAGAUAUUAGAAAGAAUACCAAUUGCGAAGGCAGCUUUCUGGAUCAUUACUGACACUGAGGAACGAAAGCAUGGGUAGCGAAGAGGAUUAGAUACCCUCGUAGUCCAUGCCGUAAACGAUGUGUGUUAGACGUUGGAAAUUUAUUUUCAGUGUCGCAGCGAAAGCGAUAAACACACCGCCUGGGGAGUACGACC
rnacentral:rRNA from 1 species